rnacentral:rRNA from 1 species
ACGACUCUCGGCAACGGAUAUCUCGGCUCACGCAUCGAUGAAGAACGUAGCAAAAUGCGAUACUUGGUGUGAAUUGCAGAAUCCCGUGAACCAUCGAGUUUUUGAACGCAAGUUGCGCCCGAAGCCAUUCGGCUGAGGGCACGUCUGCCUGGGCGUCACGCAUC